rnacentral:rRNA from 1 species
AUUGAACGCUGGCGGCAGGCCUAACACAUGCAAGUCGAGCGGAGCGGCGGACGGGUGAGUAAUGCCUAGGAAUCUGCCUGGUAGUGGGGGAUAACGUCCGGAAACGGGCGCUAAUACCGCAUACUAUCAGAUGAGCCUAGGUCGGAUUAGCUAGUUGGGGGGGUAAAGGCCUGCCAAGGCGACGAUCCGUAACUGGUCUGGGAGGAUGAUCAGUCACACUGUAACGGAGACACGGUCCAGUCUCCUACGGGAGGCAUCGUGGGGGAAGAUUGGACAGUGGGCGAAAGCCUGAUCCAGCCAUGCCGCGUGUGUGAAGAAGGGCUUCGUAUUGUAAAGCACUUUAAGUUGGGAGGCGUUACCAACAGAAUAAGCACCGGCUAACUUCGUGCCAGCCGCCGCGGUAAUUC